rnacentral:rRNA from 1 species
AUUGAACGCUGGCGGCAUGCCUUACACAUGCAAGUCGAACGGUAACAGGUCUUCGGAUGCUGACGAGUGGCGAACGGGUGAGUAAUACAUCGGAACGUGCCCGAUCGUGGGGGAUAACGCAGCGAAAGCUGUGCUAAUACCGCAUACGAUCUACGGAUGAAAGCGGGGGAUCGCAAGACCUCGCGCGGACGGAGCGGCCGAUGGCAGAUUAGGUAGUUGGUGGGAUAAAAGCUUACCAAGCCGACGAUCUGUAGCUGGUCUGAGAGGACGACCAGCCACACUGGGACUGAGACACGGCCCAGACUCCUACGGGAGGCAGCAGUGGGGAAUUUUGGACAAUGGGCGCAAGCCUGAUCCAGCCAUGCCGCGUGCAGGAUGAAGGCCUUCGGGUUGGUAAAACUACUUUCGUACGGGGACGGAUAAUAGACGGUACCCGUAGAAGAAGACU